rnacentral:rRNA from 1 species
GACGAACGCUGGCGGCGUGCUUAACACAUGCAAGUCGAACGAUGAAGCACCAGCUUGCUGGUGUGGAUUAGUGGCGAACGGGUGAGUAACACGUGAGUAACCUGCCCCUCACUCUGGGAUAAGCCUGGGAAACUGGGUCUAAUACUGGAUACGACCGAUCUCCGCGUGGAGUGUUGGUGGAAAGUUUUUGUGGUGGGGGAUGGACUCGCGGCCUAUCAGCUUGUUGGUGGGGUAAUGGCCUACCAAGGCGACGACGGGUAGCCGGCCUGAGAGGGCGACCGGCCACACUGGGACUGAGACACGGCCCAGACUCCUACGGGAGGCAGCAGUGGGGAAUAUUGCACAAUGGGCGAAAGCCUGAUGCAGCGACGCCGCGUGAGGGAUGACGGCCUUCGGGUUGUAAACCUCUUUCACCAGGGACGAAGCUAACGUGACGGUACCUGGAGAAGAAGCACCGGCUAACUACGUG